rnacentral:rRNA from 1 species
UGAUCCUGGCUCAGAUUGAACGCUGGCGGCAGGCCUAACACAUGCAAGUCGAGCGUGAAAGCACUUCGGUGUGAGUAGAGCGGCGGACGGGUGAGUAACGCGUAGAAAUCUACCUAGUAGUGGGGGACAACCUGGUGAAAACCAGGCUAAUACCGCAUACGUCCUACGGGAGAAAGCAGGGGACCUUCGGGCCUUGCGCUAUUAGAUGAGUCCGCGUUGGAUUAGCUAGUUGGUAGGGUAAAAGCUCACCAAGGCAACGACGGGUAACUGGUCUGAGAGGAUGAUCAGUCGCGAUGGAACUGAGACACGGUCCAUACUCCUACGGGAGGCAGCAGUAGGGAAUCUUCCACAAUGGACGAAAGUCUGAUGGAGCAAUACCGCGUGGUCGAUGAAGCCCCUUGGGGUGUAAAGGCCUUUUCUGGGGGAAGAAUUUUGACGGUACCCUAGGAAUAAGCACCGGCUAACUCCGUGCCAGCAGCCGCGGUAAUACAGAGGGUGCAAGCGUUAUCCGGAAUAAUUGGGCGUAAAGCGUCCGCAGGUGGUUUAUUAAGUCAGAUAUUAAAGACAAAGGCUCAACCUUUGCAGCGUAUCCGAAACUAGUAAACUAGAGAGCAGUAGAGGUGUGUGGAAUUCUGCAUGUAGGAGUAAAAUCCGUUGAUAUGCAGAGGAACACCAAAAGCGAAAGCAGCACACUGGACUGUUUCUGACACUCAUGGACGAAAGCGUGGGGAGCGAACGGGAUUAGAUACCCCGGUAGUCCACGCCGUAAACGAUGGAUACUCGGUGUUGGGUUGGUUUAUCGACUCAGUGCCUAAGCUAACGCGUUAAGUAUCCCGCCUGGGGAGUACGGUCGCAAGAUUAAAACUCAAAGGAAUAGACGGGGACCCACACAAGCGGUGGAGCAUCUGGUUUAAUUCGAUAAUAAGCGAGGAACCUUACCUGGACUUGACAUCCCAAAGAAUCUUUCAGAAAUGAGAGAGUGCCUUCUGGAACUUUGGUGACAGGUGCUGCAUGGUUGUCGUCAGCUCGUGCCUUGAGGUGUUCGGUUAAGUCCGUAAACGAGCGCAACCCACGUCAUGCGUUGUAUUUUUCACAUGAGACUGCCGGCUACAAGUCGGAGGAAGGUGUGGAUGACGUCAAAUCAGCAUGGCCCUUAUGUCCAGGGCUACACAGGUGCUACAAUGGCCAGUACAACGGGCAGCGAAACGGUAACGUGGAGCAAAUCCUUCAAAACUGGUCUAAGUUCGGAUAGAGGGCUGAAACUCGCCCUCUUGAAGCUGGAAUCGCUAGUAAACGUGCAUCAGCAAUGGCGCGUUGAAUAUGUUCCUGGGUCUUGUACUCACCGCCCGUCAAGUCACGAAAGAUGGGGGCGCCCGAAGUCCUUCGGUACAGGAGGCCUAAGGUGAAACCAUUGAUUGGGACUAAGUCGUAACAAGGUAACC